rnacentral:rRNA from 1 species
GAAACAGGUUAAUAUUCCUGUACUUGGUGUUACUGCGAAGGGGGGACGGAGAAGGCUAUGUUAGCCGGGCGACGGUUGUCCCGGUUUAAGCAUGUAGGCUGAUUGUCCAGGCAAAUCCGGAUAAUCAAGGCUGAGGUGUGAUGACGAGGCACUACGGUGCUGAAGUAACAAAUGCCCUGCUUCCAGGAAAAGCCUCUAAGCAUCAGGUA